GCUGAAUCUGCAGGACGAGGUGAAAUGCUUUCCAUUCUCCUAGUGCUGCCACUAUCCUCCUCAUCAUCAUCAUCACUAGAUAAAACAAUUGGAUCAUUUAGUUCUGAUGGUCUUGUAUUUCUCUGUCUUAAGUUUCCAGUAAUUUUAGCAUUUUUUGUCCCAGCUAGAAGACCAACUUUUCCAUUCUGUCGCAACAGAGAAUGUCCUACAACUUCGUUACUCAGUAGAAUAUCUGCUGGACCUUUCCCAACAGCAGAACUAUAAAACUUCUUUGUGUUGAACCCUGUACCUGAAGAUUUUUGCCCCGCUGAGUUCUGAUGUAUUGAAGAACGUGAUAAAGGUCCCACAGAUUCACUUAAUGUUCCAGCUUGUCUGGAGACUCUUUGCAAAUCCUUAAGAGAAACAUUUUCACAAUGUCGACACUUGGUCUGGUUUUCAUUUGCCCGCCCACAAUUUGGGCAAUCAGUAGAGUACUCAAUUGGUUCCAAAAGCUAGAGGAGGAAAGAAAAAACAAACCCCAACCAGUAACUGUAUGAUCUAAGAAAAACAAAGAUACUAUUUGCAAAUUUUG
rnacentral:lncRNA from 1 species